GAGGGAGAGGGAGAGAGAGAGAGAGACAGAGAGAGACAGAGAGAGAGAGAGAGAGAGAGGUGUUGUGAAAAAUGGUAACAGUUUGUUCCUGUUUAUAACGGAAGUAAAUGUUUGUAAAUCAGAAAGUAAAAAACAAACAAACAAUAAACAGUAAGGAAUAAACAAUAAACAGUAAAGAGUAAACAAUAAACAGUAAGGAGUAAAUAAAAAGUAAGGAGUAAAUAAACAGUAAGGAGUAAAUAAACAGUAAGGAGUAAAUAAACAGUAAGGAGUAAAUAAACAGUAUGGUGUAAACAAUAAACAGUAAAGAGUAAACAAUAAACAGUAAGGAGUAAAUAAACAGUAAGGUGUAAACAAUAAACAGUAAAGAGUAAACAAUAAACAGUAAACAAUAAACAGUAAGGAGUAAAUAAAAAGUAAGGAGUAAAUAAACAGUAAGGUGUAAACAAUAAACAGUAAAGAGUAAACAAUAAACAGUAAACAAUAAACAGUAAAGAGUAAACAAUAAACAGUAAGGAGUAAAUAAACAGUAAACAGUCUCACCCUGUGUUUGCCCUUCAGCGCACACGUCUCUCGGUCCGCCUGACUCGACCUCCACGUCAACUUCUGUAACAACACCACUACAUUACCCACAAUGCCCUGCUGCUACUUCCUGUACUCACCAAGUACACCUGGUCCCUGUUCAGGAGAGAGGGCGGAGCUUAAGGCCAUACUGAUCAUGUGAUCAUCAUCAACAGCAUAGCACAGACCCGGUGAUUAGCGUGAUUAACACCGGUGUUAAUCACGCCACACCACGAGGCAGCGCAUGGGCUAAGCUAAUCAGCUAACAUUCAAGCUAGCGUGUCCUGGAUCCUGGUCAUCAGCUGAAAGUCCAGCCGAUGUUGGGAUUCAUUUCCGGACGGCCGACCUCGGAAAACCGGAUACUGUCGGGAAUCUGGGGCGGAAAAACCAAUCAGCGCAGUGUGUGAUGUCCCUGUCCUUCAGGCCCGUCUCUGCUGUCCAUAAUGCCCAGUCAGAGUGUGUGUGUGUGAGUGUGUGUGAGUGUGUGUGUGUGUGUGUGUGUGUGUGUGUGUGGAAUGUGUCCUCGUCCUCCAGACGUCUGUCUCUCCCUCAUCACUCUCCGUCUCCGUCACGUCUGUGUGUCCUGAUAAAAUCUACACACGUCUCCAAUUAUCUGCUCUUAUCACCUGGGAGACUGAAGUGUGUGUGCGUGUGUCUGCGUGUGUGUGUCUGCGCGUGUGUGUGUGUGUGUCUGCGUGUGUGUCUGUGUGCGUGUGUGUGUGUGUGUCUGCGUGUGUGUGUCUCUCACAAUGUCUGUCCACGAUGUCCAGAGGUGCGGUGUCCUCGGGGAAACUGACGGCGUGGGUUCGCACCAACAGCAGCAGCAGCAGCAGCUGAGUCUACGCUGAGUCUACGCUGAGUCUACGCUGAAGCUACGCUGAAGCUACGCUGAGUCUACGCUGAGUCUACGCUGAAGCUACGCUGAAGCUACGCUGAGUCUACGCUGAAGCUACGUUGAGUCUACGCUGAAGCUACGCUGAGUCUACGCUGAGUCUACGCUGAAGCUACGCUGAGUCUACGCUGAAGCUACGCUGAAGCUACGCUGAGUCUACGCUGAAGCUACGCUGAGUCUACGCUGAAGCUACGCUGAGGUUACGCUGAAGCUACGUUGAGUACGCUGAAGCUACGCUGAGUCUACGCUGAGUCUACGCUGAAGCUACGCUGAGUCUACGCUGAAGCUACGCUGAGGUUACGCUGAAGCUACGCUGAGUCUACGCUGAGUCUACGCUGAAGCUACGCUGAGUCUACGCUGAAGCUACGCUGAAGCUACGCUGAAGCUACGCUGAGUCUACGCUGAAGCUACGCUGAAGCUACGCUGAGGUUACGCUGAAGCUACGCUGAAGCUACGCUGAGGCUACGCUGAGGUUACGCUGAGGUUACGCUGAAGCUACGCUGAGGUUACGCUGAAGCUACGCUGAGUCUACGCUGAGGCUACGCUGAAGCUACGCUGAGGUUACGCUGAAGCUACGCUGAAACUACGCUGAGGUUACGCGGAGGCUACGCUGAGGUUACGCUGAAGCUACGCUGAAACUACGCUGAGGUUACGCUGAGUCUAGAGUCAGUAGGUUUAGCGUUCCGUGUGGAGUUUGAGACAGUAGGUUUAGUGUUCCGUGUGGAGUUUGAGACAGUAGGUUUAGUGUUCCGUGUGGAUGUUGAGACAGUAGGUUUAGUGUUCCGUGUGGAUGUUGAGAC